GCGCGAGUAGUCGAACGGCAUAGACACUACGCUAAGGACGUAGGAUUUGUGGGUUCAAAUCCCACCUUGCGCACCA
rnacentral:tRNA from 1 species